AGGUGUGUCAAUAGCGGAGGGGAAAUACCCGAUCCCAUCCCGAACUCGGCAGUCAAGUCCUCCAGCGGCGAAGGUAGUGCCAGGGUAACUUGGUGCAAGAAUAGCACGACGCACCUC
rnacentral:rRNA from 1 species